ensembl:lncRNA
AGAAAGGGAAGGAACUCCCAUGGGCAAACAAGGCCUGGGGACCCUCUCACUUUGUAGCUACGCCCAGGUCCUGCACGGUGUCAUGACCCCAGAAUUAGUGUUUGACAGCUUCUCAGGAACAGCUGCUAUAUCCUACCUGCAGCUUGACGCCUGUUCAGAUGGAAGCAACUCUCUGCAGGCUGCGUCAGGACCUCUUUUCCCAGCUUUACUCCUCCGUCUGGGUUCUUGCACUCACAGGGGAUGGGAGAGGGGUGAGAAAUAGAGCGUUUUUUGAGAACAUAUUCCAACCUCUCGGAUGCACACGUUUUGGAGUCCUGUCCUCAUGUCAAUUGACAGAGAAGGUACUUUAUUAUGGGGUUGGGGGUGGGAAGAGGCCGUUAUGUUUCAAUUCUUUAAAAAGCUUCAUGGCUUAUCUCUCUCCCUGGGCAGCGUCUGGUGUGUGUAGAGACCAAGCUGAAAUCCAGUCCCAGACUGACAUGGUGAUGGGACAUCAAAAUAUCACAUUGAAAGAAAUUAGCUCCUUCUUUGGUGCACUUGUCAGAGUUCUCCAGAGAAACAGAACCAACAGGAUGGAUAGAUGGACAGACAGACAGGCAGGGAGACAGAGAGAUUGAGAGAUUAUUUUAAGGAAUUGACUCAUGCGAUUAUGGGGCUGGCAAGUCCAAAAUCUGCAGGGCAGACCAGCAGGCUGUGUUGCCAUCAUGAGGCAGAAUUUCUUCUUCAUAAACCUGAGUCUUUGUUCUAAGGCUUUCAACUGAUUGAAGAGGCCCACCCACGUCAUGGAGGAUAAGCUGCUUUACGUAACAUCUAGUGAUUGUAAGCAUUAAUCACAUGUAAAAACACUUUCAGAGCAACACCUAGACUAGUGUUUGACUAAACAACUGGUCGCCACAGCCUCGCCAAGCUGGCACACAAUUACCUGCCACGCUAAGUAAGAGCGUUCUCAGCAAUAUUCCCUUCAGAAGCUGUGACUUCGCUUCCUGAGUCAAGGAGAAUGACACUUUGCCAUUUCCGGCAUGCACAGAGGAAAAAACCAGCCCUGACAACCACUAGCCAGCAAAGAGGCAGAAAAGGAGAGAGUCUAGGGUCUCAAGGAAGACCAUACGGGCCAGGCCUGGAAGCGACGUUCAUCACUUCCGCCCCCAUCCCGUGGGCCAUACCUAAGAGCAAUGGAGCUUAGCAGGUCUCCAGAAAAAUGGGGAAUAUGUUCACGGCCAGUGUCUGCUACAGAGAAGCAGGGCAGAAGUUUCCAGCUUCAGAGACUAAUAGGAUGGCGGUUGUGUUAACCAAAAUAAGGCGCGCUGAAGAGAAGCAGACGUGACAGGAAGAUACUGAACUCGGUCUUCACCAUAUAGAGUCUGGAAUCCCUCUGGAACAUCCAGGCAAACAUGUCCUGUGGGCAGCCUGAGGUGAAGGUCUGGGGCUCGGGAAAGGUUGGCAGUGGAGAUAAAGAUUCGGAGAGUCUUAGACCUGUGAGUAUCAUAACAAGAGGGAGAAGAGAGAAGGAGAACGAAUCUUAAAGAGACAAGUGGGGAAAAGGAGCUGCUGAGAGAGUUUUUAAGUUGAGAAGAGAGCAAGGAGGACGGGAGCUCCAACGUGAAGGGAGAGGAGAGUUUCAAAAGAGGGAGCAGUCAGUCACGUCAAACGUUAGAGAAAAAGGAAGAAGACUCAGAAAAUGUUAUUUGCACUUAGUGACAGUUUUCCAUCUUCUACAUUCAAAAAUCCUCUCUCAGAUUGUUCUCCUUUUAGAAAAGGGGAUUGACCGGUUUACAGCAAGAUAUUAAUAUCUGGGUUCAGGAUGGUGGAUUAAGCAAAAGCACUUAUCUUCUUUCUCACCUAAGACACAAUUAAAAUGGCAGCAAAGGAAUAAACGAAAGUGUAUAAACCCACAACGAAGAGAACAGGAGAGUUUUCACAAGGUUUCUAGAAAACAGAGGGGCGAGAAGAGUGUUGACACAAAGCAGAGGAAGCCAAAGCUAAUGACAGCCUGAAUUGAGAGGAGGCUCCCAGGAGAAGCAGCAGGGGGGAUGCGACAACGCGGAACAAGGACCGGGGAGGGAGGGGGAUGAGAACUCGUUUCUCCUGGAGGCUCCGAAUUGUCUCCCUUAAGAAGCGCUGGAACUCUGACCACAGAUCUGAGGAGCAGAAGCGCAAUGCAGCUCUGCUGAGCUCUGCCGGGAGCCCCCCAGUCACGCGCUUAACGAUGGGGACUGAGAAGCACGGCGUUGAGCGAUUUUGUUGUUGUGUGAGCAUCCUAGCACAUGUUUACACCAACCAAGGUGGGAGAGCCUCCUGCACACCCAGGCUGCGCAGUGCUAAUCUGAUGGGACCACCGCCGUGUCCUUAUGUGGCGCAGGACUGUACCGGGCCGGGGUAUCAUAAUACAGAUGCUCUCGGUUGUUUUUCAGCUUCUAAAACCAACCUACAGACGGAUCAUGGAAAACUGAUUAUGGCGACAUGAUAAAAUGUGAUGAUAUCAGUCUUGGCAAGAAAAAAUUGAUGGAGGUGUGCUGUGGGAGAGGGGAGGUGCUAGGUGACCAUAUUGUUGUCCUUCCCAACAGGCUUUGGAGAGGCACAGUCUGUGCUGGCGGGAGGGGUGCUCGGGGGUUGGCGGUUUGGGGUACAGAUGGGACCCGGAGGAGCUGAAAGUGGCGCUGUAGUUGCGUCAGGAGGGAAAGCAGCACCCAGGGCAGUGAGAGGAGGUUCAGUCCUCAUCCAUCAGAACCGGAAGUCAACACGCGGUGCUUCAAGUCGAUAAAUUAAAUACUACAGAUAGAAAAGGAACUGUCGGAAGAACUUAGAGCAGAAGUUGGUAAAAGUGGUUCCCUCUGAGAUGUGGGACCAGGAGACAGGAGGACCGAGGAGAAGGGUGGCUGCUUUUAUGUCUUUUUUGUUAUUUGAUUUUUUUAACCACGUG